CAAUGAUGAAAUCACCGAAAAAUAGCUGGAAUUACCGGCAGAUUGUGUGGUGGUGAGCCCAAGGUCUUCUGAAG
rnacentral:snoRNA from 14 species